UGAGCAAUCUGCCCUUCUCUUCGGAAUAAGCGUUGGAAACGACGUCUAAUGCCGAAUACGACCUCCUUUCGCAUGAUCGGAGGUGGAAAGCUCCGGCGGAGAAGGAUGAGCUCGCGGCCUAUCAGCUAGUUGGUGUGGGUAAUGGCCCACCAAGGCGACGACGGGUAGCCGGCCUGAGAGGGCGACCGGCCACACUGGGACUGAGAUACGGCCCAGACCUCCGUACGGGAGNAGCG
rnacentral:rRNA from 1 species